rnacentral:misc_RNA from 1 species
GACCCCAUUCAACAGGAAGCUCGUCUAUCGAGGCUGCGGGUAUUUAAUAUUGCGGGGUAGCCGGUAGGCGUCCUGUAUGAUUUAUCACUAGGCUAAAAUCUCAUCCUGUGACCAUCUGAUCUCAGAUUUAUCCAUGACAGCAUGAACUUAGCUCCAGAGAAUCCCUCGGGCAACAAACUUCUGUAUGCCGGCUUCAACCAAGAUCAUGGUUGUUUUGCCUGUGGUAUGGAGAAUGGCUUCCGUGUGUAUAACACAGAUCCGCUGAAAGAGAAAGAGAGACAGGAUUUCAGCGAUGGUGGGGUUGCACAUGUGGAAAUGCUGUUUAGAUGUAACUACUUGGCCCUAGUUGGUGGAGGAAAGACACCCAACUACCCACCAAACAAAGUGAUGAUAUGGGAUGACGUAAAGAAGAAGCCCGUCAUUGAGCUGGAGUUUUCUGGUGAGGUGCGAGCGGUCCGGCUCAGGCGAGACCGGAUAGUGGUUGUCCUAGAUACCAUGAUCAAGGUCUACACGUUCACCCAGAAUCCUCAGCAGCUGCAUGUUUUCCAGACCUCAACAAAUCCAAAAGGUCUGUGUGUUCUGUGUCCGAACAGUAACAAUUCUCUGUUAGCGUUCCCGGGACGCAGGACAGGACAUGUUCAAGUUGUUGACUUAGCUAGCACCGAGAAGGACCCGGUAGACAUUGCUGCCCAUGACAAUGCCUUGAGUUGCUUAACGUUCAACCAUCAAGGCACAAGAUUAGCAUCUGCAUCAGAAAAGGGAACUCUUAUUAGGAUAUUUGACACAAGUAACGGGACCCAACUACAAGAGCUGAGACGAGGCUCAGGCAGUGCCAACAUUUACUGUAUCAACUUCAACCAAGAUUCUUCACUGCUGUGUGUUUCAAGUGACCAUGGCACUGUCCAUGUAUUCGGAGCAGAGGACCCAAGGAAGAACAAACAGUCGAGCCUUGCAUCUGCCAGUUUCCUGCCCAAAUAUUUCAGUUCCAAGUGGAGUUUCUCCAAGUUCCAGGUUCCAGGCAAUGCUCAGUGCAUCUGUGCAUUUGGUGCCGACUCCAACUCAGUCAUAGCAAUCUGUGCCGAUGGUAGCUACUUCAAAUUUGUCUUCAACCAGAAAGGGGAAUGCAGCAGGGAAGUAUAUGAAAACUUCCUAGAAAUGACUGACGAGAAGAUGUGAAAUGUAUAACCCCCCCUUCUGUGAGACCCCACCCCCAUUCAGUAAUUUAGGAGCUGAUGUUGUGGUAGGGUGCCACGCAGCAUGAAAUCUCCCCGCCUGAGGGUAUUAUCGGAAACAUGCCUGAGGCUGGAAUCUGUUUUAGUAGCUUUGUAAAUAUAAUAAUUAUGUGAAUUUUGUAGCAGUCUGUUUUUAUUCCACUUGAAAAUAAAUAUCAUCACAGUCCUGAUCGGACAGCUUGAGCAAAGCACAGUCCUGAUUGGACAGCUUGAGCAAACCGCAGUCCUGAUUGGACAGCUUCAGCAAACCACAGUCCUGAUUGGACAGCUUCAGCAAACCCCAGUCCUGAUUGGACAGCUUCAGCUCAUUAUUGAAUGUGAAUGAAAAGAUUUUACAUACGUGCUCAACAUUCAUGUUGAGAGUGAGUACUUUAUUCAAAUAAUAAAGCAGACCUACAGCGGGGCCUGCAUUGUCUGCUUGUGGCAAUUCAAUGCAUGUAUUUCCAUACCCGGUUAGUCAGCCAUGACGUUGUGUUUGAUUACAUGCAGCUGACCAUUGAAGCAGACUUUUUAGUGUUGCAUAUCUGUUGGCAGACCUGCACACUCUUUGCAUACUAAUCAAGGCCCAGUUUUCCUGGUGACAUGAAGUAGGAAUCUAUGCGUACAUGUACUUACACACAGAAUGUGCUGUUAAAAUAGUCAGUCUAGGAAGUCUGUGGGCCAGUCUGGGCUGGUGCAUUAUUUUAGAAUGCAUGGUGGUUCUGAAUCUUUCAGGUUGCAGUUUCAGGAAUUGGCAUGUUGGCGGACGCUGCAUAAGCGACAGGAACCGAGAACGGAAGUUGUAAAUCGCGUGGACUUUUCCAGCUAACUUCUUUGCAUCAUUGAGGUGGCGCUCGGUUAGCGUGUCAGGCGACGAACGCUCUCAUUCAGGAAUUUUGCAGCUCCAUUGCUUCUAGACGAAUCGCUGAAUUUGACGCUCACAAGGCCGACGGUAAGAGGCGGAAUGAACGGAAUCGGUGCUGAGCUAGGUCGAUAUGCAAACGCGUCCGGUCAGGAAGAGCUGGCGGCCCAAAUCGACUUUACCCUCAAUCAGUGUUCAAAAAUAGUGUUACCAAAUCUGUGUUGAAAACUUCGAAAUCAUUCAGAUAAAUAUUAUUACCCUUACACUCAUAAUUCUUUCAGUGUCGUGAAAAUAGUCCGAAAUAAAAAGGGUUGCAUUCGGAAUUCAGUUUGUGUUCCGAAAGGUGGUGCACUUGAGUAAAUCUCAGAAAAUCCCACAUUAACGUCGAAAUUUCUUUGAAAUUGAUAACGAUCAAGGAAUUGUUAACUACACAAUACUCAAAUCAAGCUUCUAAGAAAAUGGUUUUCUAGUUUUGAGAGCAUAUUAAUGACACAUAAUCCCGCUUGGAAACAAAAUGUAUGUACCUAAUCUCGCUCGCUCUGAAUGUCCUAGGAUUAAUCAUUUAACAUGAGCCUUUGCUCAAAACUUACCAUGAAAACAUAAGGACAUAAUUUAGUGAGUUUAGAAAACAUUCUUCAAUUUUAAAGGGUAAUUAAAAAUGCAAAUACGUACCAAGUAAAUACGUGUAUCAUUUGAAGACCAUUUCAAUGACAGGUUCCACUGGGCAGGUGUAACAGGUGCACGGAAAAAAGUCACUUAUAUAUAUAGACCACUAAUUUGUAAAAUGAUAGACGUGGCAUCUCCCGGCUUUCGCAAAGUUAUUUUUUGGCCUGUGGUGCCCUGGACGAAUCUUCAUUUAAUGUACUGGCUUAAAAUGACCAAUGAAAUUCUUUCGUGGCCAGAUUAUCAAAGUGCGCAAUAACUAUCUUAAUACCCUCACAGAAGUAUGUCGGAAAUACAUACCGUUCAUUUAACGUUCGAUGAACGCUCCGAAAAUACUGUUGUCGGAAGUCAUUUGGUAAGAGAUGACUGAGAUAUCAGCUGCUGUACUUUCGAUAUUUAUCCGGAACAAUGAUACAUUCUUUCAUAAUUCCCUUCAGAUUACACUUUGAAUUGCCUUCAUUUUCAUCCUCUUAUUUAAUGACUUAUCUCUCGUGACUCAUCCACAUAGAACGUGCACAUAAAGGGGCAGGGCCUACCCAUACUGCCCCACUACACAUUUUUAGGUAGGCCUACCUGUGAGGCUGACUUACAUUUCAGUGAGACUCACUUGCAAUAGACCGACUGCGCCACUAAAUCCACUAAGUCACGUUACCUAGAGUGGGUAUUG